UGGACAGAUUACUGUAUUCGACUGUAUUCACGGCGUGAAACAGGGGAUUACACUGUUUUAAAACGGAAAGUGUAUCAAUUAACAUAAAAGACUACU
rnacentral:pre_miRNA from 1 species